AGUGGCGGACGGGUGAGUAACGCGUGGGUAACCUGCCUCAUACAGGGGGAUAACAGUUAGAAAUGACUGCUAAUACCGCAUAAGACCACAGCACCGCAUGGUGCAGGGGUAAAAACUCCGGUGGUAUGAGAUGGACCCGCGUCUGAUUAGGUAGUUGGUGGGGUAACGGCCUACCAAGCCGACGAUCAGUAGCCGACCUGAGAGGGUGACCGGCUACAUUGGGACUGAGACACGGCCCAA
rnacentral:rRNA from 1 species